rnacentral:rRNA from 1 species
CCUACGGGAGGCAGCAGUGAGGAAUAUUGGUCAAUGGGCGUAAGCCUGAACCAGCCAAGUCGCGUGAGGGAUGAAGGUUCUAUGGAUCGUAAACCUCUUUUAUAGGGGAAUAAAGUGUGUGACGUGUCCUAUUUUGUAUGUACCUUAUGAAUAAGGAUCGGCUAACUCCGGUCCAGCAGCCGCGGUAAUACGGAGGAUCCGAGCGUUAUCCGGAUUUAUUGGGUUUAAAGGGUGCGUAGGCGGCCUUUUAAGUCAGCGGUGAAAGUCUGUGGCUCAACCGUAGAAUUGCCGUUGAAACUGGGGGGCUGGAGUAUGUGUGAGGCAGGCGGAAUGCGUGGUGUAGCGGUGAAAUGCUUAGAUAUAACGCAGAACCCCGAUUGCGAAGGCAGCCUGCCAAGCCAUGACUGACGCUGAUGCACGAAAGCGUGGGGAUCAAACAGGAUUAGAUACCCCGGUAGUC